UCCAGACUCCUACGGGAGGCAGCAGUGAGGAAUAUUGGUCAAUGGGCGCGAGCCUGAACCAGCCAAGUAGCGUGAAGGAUGACUGCCCUACGGGUUGUAAACUUCUUUUAUAAAGGAAUAAAGUGAGGCACGUGUGCCUUUUUGUAUGUACUUUAUGAAUAAGGAUCGGCUAACUCCGUGCCAGCAGCCGCGGUAAUACGGAGGAUCCGAGCGUUAUCCGGAUUUAUUGGGUUUAAAGGGUGCGUAGGCGGACGCUUAAGCCGGGGGUAAAAUGGGGGGGCUCAACCUCGGCGAGCCGUUGAAACUGGGUGCCUUGAGUGGGCGAGAAGUACGCGGAAUGCGUGGUGUAGCGGUGAAAUGCAUAGAUAUCACGCAGAACUCCGAUUGCGAAGGCAGCUUACUAAACUGCCACUGACAUUGAUGCUCGAAAGUGUGGGUAUCAAACAGGAUUAGAUACCCUUGUAA
rnacentral:rRNA from 1 species